rnacentral:rRNA from 1 species
UACGUAGGGGGCAAGCGUUAUCCGGAUUUACUGGGUGUAAAGGGAGCGUAGGUGGCAUGGCAAGUCAGAAGUGAAAUGCGGGGGCUCAACCCCUGAACUGCUUUUGAAACUGUCAGGCUAGAGUGCUGGAGAGGUAAGUGGAAUUCCUAGUGUAGCGGUGAAAUGCGUAGAUAUUAGGAGGAACACCAGUGGCGAAGGCGGCUUACUGGACAGCAACUGACACUGAGGCUCGAAAGCGUGGGGAGCAAAC